ACGACUAAAAAUUGGCCGAAAUUGGCUGCCGAAUGGAUCGGCAGUCUGCCGUGGGAACGGAAUUUCCCACGGCAGGACGAAUUCUCCCACGGCAGUUGAAUGAACAAUGGGUUGUGGGGGGUAAACUGGCUUUUUUAAAACAUUGGGGUGUCGGGGAAAUCCUUAGCCCACGUCGGAUUUUUUUGAAAUUUCGCACGUUGUCGUGGGAAAAGCAAAAUUACGAAACUGCCCCCCUUUAUAUACAAAGCAAAAUUUCCCACGGCAGGUUCUGAUUUCACUGUACAUUUCCACAAAAAAUCGCAAAAGUUUCCUCCUCCCACGUCAAUCCCAUGGCGAAGGUCAUUUCCGUCGAUUUUGAAGCUUCCCGGCAACCGCAAAUGGCAAAGAAGGAUAUUUCUCACAAAAGAAGACGGAUUGAGAGCGAGCUGCGCAUUCCCGACGAGUCCAGACACUUCCGGGCAGAUGCGAUAUCUCAUGCACAGCGUACGACAUUAUCCCGGAUAUCUCCCUGUUUGGACUCAUAUAGGUCGUAUUUUCACUGGUGAUCCGGAGGAUGUCACAUUCCCUCUUGAGCCAUCAUUGAUCGAGGUAUAUGCGUCGACGAUUAGCGACACAGUUGUAUUUUCAUUGUAUCGAGUAGCUCACGGAUGUAUAUUUAUCAUUAUUUCUAUGUUUAGAUGUAUAUAUUUA